ACCUGGGUGGCUCAGUUGGUUGAGCGUCUGACUUCAGCUCAGGUCAUGAUCUCACAGUCCGUGAGUUCAAGCCCCGCGUCAGGCU
rnacentral:tRNA from 1 species